rnacentral:rRNA from 1 species
CUAUAAGAGCGACGCCUGUCCCAGUGAACAAUUAAACGGCCGCGGGACCCUAACCGUGCAAAGGUAGCAUAAUCAUUUGUCUACUAAUUAUAGACCUGUAUGAAAGGCAAAAUGAGGAUCAAACUGUCUCUUAUAACAAAUCAAUUAAACUGAUCUUCCAGUAAAAAAGCUAGAAUUCCAACAUAAGACCAGAAGACCCUGUGAAGCUUAAUCUAAACUAUUAAAACCAAUAAUAACUACUUUCGGUUGGGGCGACCUUGGAAAAAAAAAAAACUUCCAAAGACCAUUAUAAUAAUAUAAUAUACAGGCCCACAACCCAAACCACUACCCAUUAAAGUUGAAAAUUGAAACAUUUACUCCAGGGAUAACUGCGCCUCUUCUUCAAUAGCCCAAAUAAAUUUUAAGGUUUAUUAUUCGAUGUUGGAUUAGGAACUCUAAUGGGGAAUCUGCUAUCAAGGCUCCGGAUGAAUAAUAUUCAACGGUCUGAUCCAACCUGAAUUCUAACCGUAGUUGAUCACCGAUCCCCCUCCUACCCCAUCUCUGUCACAGGCGUGAGUCUAACCAUUACUAUACUUUUAACUGAUCGAAAUUUUAA